AUUUUCAGCCCUCGUUCUGUCACAAAUUUGGGUGGUAGAUAUCUCAAAAGAUAAAACUGGUAUCGCCAGAUCAGUACUCAGGUGGGUGACCACUGGGGAAUCCCUGGUGUUGUAUGUU
rnacentral:rRNA from 1 species